rnacentral:lncRNA from 1 species
GGGGAGCUGUUGCGGAUACAGUCAGAAUGGGCGACACCAGCCUUCUGCGGGAAGCGUGGCCUGGUGGGUGCACAGCUGAGAAAGGCACCGCCAGCAUACCCCCGACCCUGGUGCAUCUUUUGCUCUCUGGAAGGACUGAGGUCAGGAAAGCUCAUCUUGGCAAAAGUGUGCUAAAGAUUAAGAGCAGCGGGUGCAAAAAAGAUUUCCUCCUCGCUCCUAUGAAAAAAAGGGAACUGAGAGGCCCUGGCUUGCAGGAGGCCUACCCCGCAGAGGGGAGUUGAGAGCUAACUGAAAGGGUCACGCCGGUGGCCAGCCAGCCCCAGGGGAGAGGCCGGUGUGGUGGGGGGUCUGGCCCUGGUUACCGGGAAACCCCUUUGGUCAAGACCCCAAGGAAGCGGUGGGACGAGGCGGAAUGUACUUGGCUUGCAGAGGGGUGCCUCCAAAGCUCAGCCAAGCAGAAAGGGGGGUGGGGGGAGGCCUGGUGGGCAAGGACUGGCCACAAGGAUCCUGCUUCAGUGGGUGGGGCAGCCUUUCAGAGGGUGCUGGGAGGAAGGAGCCAGUUCCUCCCCGAAAAGGGAGGAGGCCAGACAGAUAAGUCCCCCAGCUGCCCAAGCAUUAUCAAGGCCCUUAGAUAAAAGCAGCCAGAGACAUCUUGAGGUUCUGCCCAGCCAUGAAGAGGGAGAGGAGCUGAGACUGUUCUAGUAUUUGAGAGACGUGGUCAAGGAGGAGCUGAAGUGAUGCUCUUUCCUCAAAGAGAAGAAAUUAGGGGUCUGGACAAUACUGGAAAGCAUCUGUGAAAACCGCCAGAACUUUUGGGAGGUCAUUCUGGGGGGUAAUAAGAUUGGAAGGUACACACAGCAGAGCUUUCCUUGUCUGAGGUGUCAUUCUUAGAAUCCACGAUCUGGUUGCAAGGUCUGGACCUCAGAGGUACUGACAGAACAUGAGACUGUUUACCAGCUGAACUGGUCUGCUGCAUUUUGGAUUUGAACUGGUCUCCCAUUUUGGAUUCAUGUGAUUGAUGGGAGGUGUGGCCAGGGGAGAGAAGUUCAAGGCUGGGGAGGUGGGCUGUGCUGUGAAUAAUUAGGGGUAAUGUUUUAUCCAUUGCUUUGUAACAAGCCACCCAAAAACUUAGCAUCACAAAAUAACAGUUUAUUACUAUCUCACACAUUUCUGGGAGUUGAUGGGGCUCAGCUGGGCAGUUCUUCUGCUGGUCUAUCUUGGUGUCUCUCAGGCAUUUGCAGUCAGAUAGUGGCUACAGCUGGGGUCCUGGAGGCUCAGCUGGGCUGGAAUCUCUGAAAUGGCAUCUACACUCACAUGACUGGUGCCUUCCAUGUGGCCUUUCUCUCUGCAUAGUGCCUGAUCCUCUGAUUUCUGUGGUGCCUUUCUGCACGGCCUUUCUCUUCAGCAGGGCAGUUGGAGUUUUUACGUGCUGGCUUCCUAGAUUGCAAAAGCACAAACUGCCAAGCCUUCCUAAGGCUCAGGCUCAGAACGGGCACAUCAUUUCUGCCCUAUUCGAUGGGUCACGUGCAUCACGGGACCAAUCUGGGUUCAGCGUGGCAGGGAGGUGCACACAGGCAUGGGUUUCAGGUGGGAAUACAGUGAGGCAAGGUUCAUUGAGGGCUGUUUUGCAGACCAGCUCCCUCAAAAGGGUAGCGCUAACACACUGGGGCAAAGGGUCCAUUGGAGGGGAAGCAGCGCCAGGUCCGGCUGAUUAGCGAGCCUCUGGGAGGAAAAAUGGAGAGUCUUGGCUAUUCUGCUAGGAAAUUCUCCAUUGUCAUUCUUGGAAGGUUUUUUUUUUUUUUUUUUUUUUAAAGGCACCAAGGAUUUCUUUAUAAAGGCCACACGAUAUAUGGGGCAGCUGAAUUUCAAGCCAGAUUUUCCUGGUCCCUGACGCCUGAGUCCGUUUCCUAGCCCACUGACAAACCAGCCCAGCUUUUCCAGGUCCUGGCCAUUUGGUGCUGGUUGUUGGUGGACAGGGUGGAUCUGAGCUGCCCGAUGUCUAUAAGUGCUUGAUGUGUUACACAGAUUGACUUUAAUACCGGGCUUUUCUUUCUGGCACGUGGAAAUUCUCUAAAAUGGGUGCGACCUUGGCCCUCACGCCCGUCUUUCUUACGGAGGUCAUCCACUCUGUUCACAAAAGGUAUGACUGGGGCGGGGGGUUCGUGGAGCAUGUAACUGUGGCCGAGAAGAUCAAGGCGCUGUCUGCCAGCUUCACCAAGUCAUCCUGCCCUUUGAUUUGGGGGCUGAGGCUGGCGUUUGUGGCUCCUGCUGUUUGAAACUGUACUUCGGCCCCCGCUCUGUCUGCCUCUGCUCCGAGGAACCCCCCUCUUCACGGCCGUGCGCUGCUCUGGUCAAGUGGCCACCCCACUGGACUUCAAAGCACUGGGCAGGGCUUGCGGAUUCUCUGGAUUCAGGACAUCAUCACAAAAGUUCCCUUAGCAACAAGUCGGCAGGAAUCCCUGACAUCUGUUAGCCACCACGUGAAUCCCUGCGGUCCAUUACCAGCUAGAAACAUGAAUGAGAUGCUGACCUGCUUGUACUCUUCUGAGCCUGAAAAGGCCCAGCUUUUAUCUGCCAGCCGGGUCGACCUCAUCUACAAGCACAGAAGCUGGUCCCCGUGUGGCUGGUCAAAGACAAUGUUUGGUAA